CCUGGUAGUCCAUGCCGUAAACGUUGGGCACUAGGUGUGGGGACCAUUCCACGGUUUCCGCGCCGCAGCUAACGCAUUAAGUGCCCCGCCUGGGGAGUACGGCCGCAAGGCUAAAACUCAAAGGAAUUGACGGGGGCCCGCACAAGCGGCGGAGCAUGCGGAUUAAUUCGAUGCAACGCGAAGAACCUUACCAAGGCUUGACAUGUUCUCGAUCGCCGUAGAGAUACGGUUUCCCCUUUGGGGCGGGUUCACAGGUGGUGCAUGGUUGUCGUCAGCUCGUGUCGUGAGAUGUUGGGUUAAGUCCCGCAACGAGCGCAACCCUCGUUCCAUGUUGCCAGCACAUAAUGGUGGGGACUCAUGGGAGACUGCCGGGGUCAACUCGGAGGAAGGUGAGGACGACGUCAAAUCAUCAUGCCCCUUAUGUCUUGGGCUUCACGCAUGCUACAAUGGCCGGUACAAUGAGUUGCGAUACUGUGAGGUGGAGCUAAUCCCAAAAAGCCGGUCUCAGUUCGGAUUGGGGUCUGCAACUCGACCCCAUGAAGUCGGAGUCGCUAGUAAUCGCAGAUCAGCAACGCUGCGGUGAAUACGUUCCCGGGCCUUGUACACACCGCCCGUCAAGUCACGAAAGUUGGUAACACCCGAAGCCGGUGGCCUAACCCUUGUGGGGGGAGCCGUCGAAGG
rnacentral:rRNA from 1 species